GGUCGUGGAGGAGGCUGUCAAUACCAUUGGUCAAUAGAAAAGCAUAUGCCUGCAAAGAACAGGGAGUACAGGGUUUGCUUUAGGGAGACUGAAGGUUCCAGCCAAUGUCAAGGAUCAAGAACCACAUGUACUGGUUGGAGCAGCAGUUGCCCACACUUUUCAGCACCAUUCCAUGACGACACCGAUAACAGAGGUGGGGGAUGUAACUACAGCUGGAAAGUUGAAGAGCAGGCCAGUGCAAACAAUAUCCCACAAAUCUGUAGGGUAUGUUUUAGAGAGACUGAAGGUUCCAGCCAAUGCCAGGGCAGCAGAGCCACGUGCAGUGGCUAUUCUAAUGGGGCCUGGACAGCAGGGUUCAGAGACGACACUGAUGAUAGAAGCGGGGGUUGUGCUUACUCUUGGAAACUUGAGUGUGAAAACAUAUGGUAAAGACAGUUAAAAGACAGUUCAGCCUGUAACAAAUCGUUUAGUAAAUGAGCAUCUAAGGGAUGGAAGUAA